GGCCUGAUGGUCUAGUAGUAUGAUUCGCCCUUAGGGAAGUGAACACGCUUUCGCCUGGGCGAGGUCCCGGGUUCAAUUCCCGGUCAGGCCC